UUAACUCUAAUUUGUAUGGAGUUGGACAGCGUUCCUACGUUUGGCGCUAGGGCCGUUAUUCCAACUCCAUACAAAGGGGAA
rnacentral:pre_miRNA from 1 species